rnacentral:rRNA from 1 species
UAAGUAGGGUGCAAGCGUUAAUCGGAAUUACUGGGCGUAAAGCGUGCGCAGGCGGCUUUGUAAGACAGGCGUGAAAUCCCCGGGCUCAACCUGGGAAUGGCGCUUGUGACUGCAAAGCUGGAGUGCGGCAGAGGGGGAUGGAAUUCCGCGUGUAGCAGUGAAAUGCGUAGAUAUGCGGAGGAACACCGAUGGCGAAGGCAAUCCCCUGGGCCUGCACUGACGCUCAUGCACGAAAGCGUGGGGAGCAAAUAGG